rnacentral:sRNA from 1 species
UCAAAUGGAAGUAGCUGGUAUUACCUGA